CUGCUAUCGGAUUGAUACUAAGCCAUGCGAGUCAUUGUAGCAAUACAAGGCAUACGGCUCAGUAACGCGUAGUCAACCUAACCUAUGGACGGGAAUAACCUCGGGAAACUGAGAAUAAUGCCCGAUAGAACAUUAUGCCUGGAAUGGUUUAUGUUCCAAAUGAUUUAUCGCCGUAGGAUGGGACUGCGGCCUAUCAGUUUGUUGGUGAGGUAAUGGCCCACCAAGACUAUUACAGGUACGGGCUCUGAGAGGAGUAGCCCGGAGAUGGGUACUGAGACACGGACCCAGGCCCUAUGGGGCGCAGCAGGCGAGAAAACUUUGCGAUGUGCGAAAGCACGACAAGGUUAAUCCGAGUGGUUUCUGCUAAAGGAACCUUUUGUCAGUCCUAGAAACACUGAUGAAUAAGGGGUGGGCAAGUUCUGGUGUCAGCCGCCGCGGUAAAACCAGCACCUCAAGUGGUCAGGAUGAUUAUUGGGCCUAAAGCAUCCGUAGCCGGCUCUGUAAGUUUUCGGUUAAAUCUGUACGCUCAACGUACAGGCUGCCGGGAAUACUGCAAAGCUAGGGAGUGGGAGAGGUAGACGGUACUCGGUAGGAAGGGGUAAAAUCCUUUGAUCUAUUGAUGACCACCUGCGGCGAAGGCGGUCUACCAGAACACGUCCGACGGUGAGGGAUGAAAGCUGGGGGAGCAAACCGGAUUAGAUACCCGGGUAGUCCCAGCUGUAAACCAUGCAAACUCAGUGAUGCAUUGGCUUGUGGCCAAUGCAGUGCUGCAGGGAAGCCGUUAAGUUUGCCGCCUGGGAAGUACGUACGCAAGUAUGAAACUUAAAGGAAUUGGCGGGGGAGCACCACAAGGGGUGAAGCCUGCGG
rnacentral:rRNA from 1 species